rnacentral:lncRNA from 1 species
ACGAUAAGAUGAGUCAACACACAGAAAAUACAGAACAGCAGAUGCCCCAUUCUCCGUUUGCUUUGCACCACGAGUAAAACUUCCUGAGGCUUCACCAGAAGCUGAACAGAUGCCAACGCCAUGCAUUUUGGACAGCCUGCAGAAUCGUGAGCCAAAUAAAUCUCUUUUCUUUAUAAAUUACCUCAUCUCAGAUAUUCCUUUACAGCAGUACAAAAUGAACUAAUACAAUGACUGCAUAGCAAAUUGUCCUGAGACCUAUGCAGUCAGGAACCCAGUGGUGGCUGACCUGGGGCUUCUGGCUCUGGAUUCUGUUGUGUGGCUGCAGUCAAGCUGUCAUCAGGGCUGUGGUCUCAACUGAAGGCUUUGCUGGGGCUGGAGGAUCUGCUUCUAAACUCAUUCAUGUGUUGUCAUCAGAUGUCAGCUCCUUGCUGACUGUUGGCCAGAGACUUCAGUUCCUUCCUGCAUAGACCAACCCAUAGGGCUACUCACAAAAUAACAGUUGGCUUCCUCUAGAGCAAGUGAUUUGAGAGAGAGAGAAACAGAGAGAGCCAGCCCCAAGACAGAAGUCAUAGUUUCUCUUAUUGCCUAAUCUCAUAGUGAUAUCUCCUCACUACAUUGUAUACUAAUGAUCACAUAGACCAACCCUGGCCCCACGUUGGAGAGGACCCUACAAGGUGUAAAAACCAGGACAUGGGGUCAUUGGGGGCCGUCUUAGAAGUUGGCUACCAAAAGUACCAUAAAAAUGCUAAGCUAAAUAGGGAGAUGUAGAGUAUGCUAGCAAGUGUUAAAGAAAAAUCAGAAUUCAUUUUCUCCUUUUGAAAACCAGGCGUCAGUUACAGUUCACCCUGGAAACUCCUUCAUCAGCAGCCCAAAUUCUCAGCAGUGACCUGUUGCCUGCCCAGCCUGGAGAAUUUGCCAGCUAUUACCAGAACCAUGCUCCCAACAGUGCAGAAAUAAUGGAAAUACACCUGCAUUCUCUCACUGCAAGAAUAUCUUGGGCUCCCCAGAGUCUGGCUGCUUUUAGUUUUGGUUACUCAGUGUGUGCUUGUGAGCACCUCCAGGAAAGGGGGUUCUGCCUUGCAGACAACCCCAGGCAGAGUCUGAAACCAAGGUUCUAACCACAGGAAUGAACCUUCGGACUUGCCUGCUUAAGACUGCUUAGGACAAAGCCCCGUAUCACACAGCCUGCAGCACAUCUUCACUUCUGUCUUGCUUUGCAGGCAUGCUAAGAGGGCCAGAGGGGAGUGUCUUGGGUCAAAUAACACAGGAGACUUAAGAGCAAUUUGAUCUUACACCUCAAAAAAAGGAAAUGUCCAAUGGCCGCAUGUGAGGGGAACCUGUACAUCUUCAAAUCCAUUGAAAAUGUGUUCAGGGGCAGGGUGCGGUGACCCAUGCCUGUAAUCCCAGCACUUUGGGAGGCCAAGGCGGGUGUAUCACCUGAGGUCAG